CUUGGUCAUUUAGAGGAAGUAAAAGUCGUAACAAGGUUUCCGUAGGUGAACCUGCGGAAGGAUCAUUAAAGAGAACAUGCCCUUCGGGGUAGAUCUCCCACCCUUUGUUUAUAUACUUUGUUGCUUUGGCAGACCCGUCUUCGGACCGCCGGCGCCAGCUGGUCCGCGUCUGCCAGAGAACCCCAAACUCAUAUUAUCAAUGUCGUCUGAGUACUAUAAUAAUAGUUAAAACUUUCAACAACGGAUCUCUUGGUUCUGGCAUCGAUGAAGAACGCAGCGAAAUGCGAUAAGUAAUGUGAAUUGCAGAAUUCAGUGAAUCAUCGAAUCUUUGAACGCACAUUGCGCCCUCUGGUAUUCCGGGGGGCAUGCCUGUUCGAGCGUCAUUACAACCCUCAAGCUCUGCUUGGUAUUGGGCCUCGCCGGUUCUGGCGGGCCUCAAAAUCAGUGGCGGUGCCAUUUGGCUUCAAGCGCAGUAAUUCUUCUCGCUCUGGAGUUCCGUCUGCGUGCUUGCCAGCAACCCCCAAUUUUUUAAGGUUGACCUCGGAUCAGGUAGGGAUACCCGCUGAACUUAAGCAUAUCAAUAAGCGGAGGAAAAGAAACCAACAGGGAUUGCCUCAGUAACGGCGAGUGAAGCGGCAACAGCUCAAAUUUGAAAUCUGGCCUCACGGCCCGAGUUGUAAUUUGUAGAGGAUGUUUCGAGCGUGGUCCGGUCUAAGUUCCUUGGAACAGGACGUCAUAGAGGGUGAGAAUCCCGUAUGCGACCGGGUGCCUAAGUUCAUGUGAAACUCCUUCGACGAGUCGAGUUGUUUGGGAAUGCAGCUCAAAAUGGGUGGUAAAUUUCAUCUAAAGCUAAAUACUGGCCAGAGACCGAUAGCGCACAAGUAGAGUGAUCGAAAGAUGAAAAGCACUUUGGAAAGAGAGUUAAACAGUACGUGAAAUUGUUGAAAGGGAAGCGCUUGCAACCAGACUUGCACGCAGCCGAUCAUCCGGUAUUCUUACCGGUGCACUCGGUUGCGUUCAGGCCAGCAUCGGUUUUGGUGGUUGGAUAAAGGCCUUGGGAAUGUAGCUUCUUUCGGGGAGUGUUAUAGCCCUCGGUGCAAUGCAGCCUACCGGGACCGAGGACCGCGCUUCGGCUAGGAUGCUGGCGUAAUGGUUGUAAGCGACCCGUCUUGAAACACGGACC
rnacentral:rRNA from 1 species